UAAUAAGUGUUUUAUGGCACUUUUUAAAUCCAUAUCCACCUUGUGUGCAAUGUCGGUCGAUCUUCUUCUAUGGAGGAUCGACCAAACAUCAACCUUUAUCUUUUAACUCUUUGUCUGAAAAAUAUUAUGAAUAAACAAUUCAAAAUA
rnacentral:misc_RNA from 1 species